rnacentral:rRNA from 1 species
GCUGAACUUAAGCAUAUCAAUAAGCGGAGGACAAGAAACCAACAGGGAUUGCCUUAGUAACGGCGAGUGAAGCGGCAAAAGCUCAGAUUUGAAAUCUGGCGUCAUUUUGGCGUCCGAGUUGUAAUCUGUAGAGGAGUAUUCGAGUGUAGCUUUGGCUUAAGUUCCUUGGAACAGGGCGUCAUAGAGGGUGAGAACCCCGUUAACGGCCUUUGUCUUAUGCUCAUGUGAAUCUCCUUCAACGAGUCGAGUUGUUUGGGAAUGCAGCUCUAAAUGGGUGGUAAAUUCCAUCUAAAGCUAAAUACUGGCAAGAGACCGAUAGCGCACAAGUAGAGUGAUCGAAAGAUGAAAAGAACUCUGAACAGAGAGUUAAAUAGUACGUGAAAUUGUUGAAAGGGAAGCACUUGCGACCAGACGCACUUGCAGCCGAUCAACCUCCAUUCUUGGUGGUGCACUCGGUUGUAGGUGGGUCAGCAUCAGUUACGGCGGUGGGAAAAAGACCUUGGGAAUGUGGCUCCUCUCGGGGAGUGUUAUAGCCCUUGGUGUAAUGCUGCCAGCUGUGACUGAGGACCGCGCUUCGGCGAGGAUGCUGACAUAAUGGUCGUAAGUGACCCGUCUUGAAACACGGACCAAGGAGUCUAACAUCUAUGCGAGUGUUUGGGUGUUGAAACCCUUACGCGUAAUGAAAGUAAAUGGAGGUGGGAACCGCAAGGUGCACCAUCGACCGAUCCUGAUGUUUUCGGAUGGAUUUGAGUAGGAGCAUAGCUGUUGGGACCCGAAAGAUGGUGAACUAUGCCUGAAUAGGGUGAAGCCAGAGGAAACUCUGGUGGAGGCUCGCAGCGGUUCUGACGUGCAAAUCGAUCGUCAAAUUUGGGUAUAGGGGCGAAAGACUAAUCGA